UACGGAGGAUCCGAGCGUUAUCCGGAUUUAUUGGGUUUAAAGGGUGCGCAGGCGGGAGAUUAAGUCGGCGGUGAAAUUUUGCAGCUCAACUGUAAAAGUGCCUUCGAUACUGGUUUCCUUGAGUGUGGAUGAAGUAGGCGGAAUUUGUGGUGUAGCGGUGAAAUGCUUAGAUAUCACGAGGAACUCCGAUUGCGCAGGCAGCUUACUAAACCACUACUGACGCUCAGGCACGAAGGCGUGGGGAUCAAACAGGAUUAGAUACCCGCGUAGU
rnacentral:rRNA from 1 species